UUUGUCACAGAAAAUAAAGCUGGACACUGUGGCACUUGCCUAUGAUUAUAGGAAGACCAAAAGUUCAAGGGUACAUAGUGAAUUAGGCCAGCCUGAGCUAUUUGAGACCUUGUCUCAAAACAAACACAAAAGCAGGGGAAGGGGGGGGCGUUGCUCAGCGGCUUAAAGGUUGCUGAUCCUUCAGUCCAUCCCCAGCACCGGAGAAAUAAAAAUUUCAAAAGCCCGUUACAUGUACGUGGCCCAGUGAUUAGGUAUUUCCUGUGAUUCUUUUUGAAAUAGCAAAUAAUGUUUAAAGGAAGAGUCCUGAGGCCAUGGGUAAAGUGUUUGCAGUGCAAACCUGAGGACCUGAGUUGGGAUCUCUGGCACUGGUUUAAAGCUGACCCACCCCUAGUGGCGCAGGCCCAUAACUGCAGCACUAUGGUGGGUGGACACACGAGGACACCCGCGUGUGCUUGCCGGCUAAUGGAGUUGAAAAGCAGAGCUCCGGGCUCAGUAAGAGAUGGCGUCUCAAGGGAAUAAGCUCCCAGACCUGCUGCUCUCUGUGGAUCGCCCCUCUUUAGUGGGUCUUUUGGAUCCCAGACUGGCCUUGAACAACUUGUGUCAUUGAGAGCAUCUCUCCACCUCCUGUGUACU